GAUGAACGCUAGCGGGAGGCUUAACACAUGCAAGUCGAGGGGCAGCAUAGGGUAGCAAUACUCUGAUGGCGACCGGCAAACGGGUGAGUAACGCGUAUGCAACCUACCCUGUACAGGGGGAUAACCCGGAGAAAUUCGGACUAAUAUCCCGUAAUAAUAUCCGGAGGCAUCUUUGGAUAUUUAAAGUUUCGACGGUACGGGAUGGGCAUGCGUAACAUUAGCUGGUUGGUAAGGUAACGGCUUACCAAGGCUAUGAUGUUUAGGGGUCCUGAGAGGGUGGUCCCCCACACUGGUACUGAGACACGGACCAGACUCCUACGGGAGGCAGCAGUGAGGAAUAUUGGUCAAUGGGCGCAAGCCUGAACCAGCCAUCCCGCGUGCAGGAAGACGGCCCUAUGGGUUGUAAACUGCUUUUCCAGGGAGAGAAACUUACGCACGUGUUGCGUGACUGACGGUACCCUGGGAAUAAGCAUCGGCUAACUCCGUGCCAGCAGCCGCGGUAAAGUGUGUGU
rnacentral:rRNA from 1 species